AAUUAAUAAAGAUAUUGUUGUUAUGCUAUGACAGGCGGUCUAGCCAGAGCUGUGCGACACAAAGCCGCGGAGCUUACCUAAAUAUUUCGUAGAGAACUUAAGAGCUGCUCCUUGGAACUUGGUUUCGUGACCGUUUCUCUGGGAACCCUGUUCCAGUGACUGACCACCCUCUGAGUGAAGCACCUUUUGCUGAUCUGGCUCCAGUUGGAUCUUCUCCUGAUGGAGCUUCAUUCCAUUUCCUCAUGUCCUGUCACUGGUCACCAGAGAGAUCAGAUCAACACCUUCCUCUCUACUGCUCUUCUUGUGGAAAUUGAAGACUGAGAUGAGGUCUGCCCUCAGCCUUUUCUUCUCCAAGCUCCAACAAACCAAGAAAGGCAGAUUCUCCCUGCCUUUCAACCUUUUCUGAAUGUUCUGUAGUAGUUUCAUGCUCUUCUUACAUCAAAGACAGUGAUAUAAAUGUGAAAUCACUAGAUCAAUUUCUACAGUGGUGUGAUAUGAUAAGGAUGCUUUUUCUUAAGAGCCUAAUGGAACAGAUAACUUCACUUGGAUAGAAUCUCAUUCCUGGCAUAAAUUCAUUGACAUCAGUAGGCUGUCAUUAGAAACGGAUCUUCCACUUACUUAAAAUCUGUUUUAAAUUUAUAAAACUUUACAUUUUUGUCUACUAAAAGUAGUUUCAGCAUAUUCCAGCCUGCUUUAUUGAUUUCAAGAUUACUUUUGGAAAUAAAGGUGAUGAAUACGUCAGCCAACUCAGUCAGUAAAACCCCCACUUUUAAUAUCUGUCAUCCAGUGUGUGUGGUUAUUUCCAAAAUUCAAGCAACAAACUGAUAAACUAAGAAUGCAUUAGACACAGAAGGGGUGCACAAAAAAUUAUAUUGAUUUCAUUAAAACAUUAUGAUUCCAAUCUAACAUCAUACACAAUCAGUAAAACUAAUUUUGUUAAGCAAAAUAUGCAAGAAUUAAAAUUCUUAGAGCAAAACUAUCUUUGCUUAGUUGCACAUAUUUUUCAUUUUAAAGUAAAUAUGUAAAGAGAAAUGGGACUAUUACAAACUGUAAUUUUAAAGUUUAGCUAAGUUUAAAUAGCAAUAGAAUAGUCAUUCCAGCAUGCUUUAGUAUUUAAUGUAAAUUCUCCCUGCCAACUCCCCAAAUUAACUUAUUGUGCUCUUUUAAGAAUUCAACAUUUUAUAAAGAUGAAACAUUUGGUACAAUUUUUAACAAUUUAAGUAAACAGUAGAAGAUGAUCAUUCUAGGAAAUGAACAUGUUAAGGGUUGUUUUUCAGUUUUUAGUGUGUAACUGUACUAGUCACAAUUUAGGCGGUAGCCACAUGUGGUUCUGCCAAAUUCAAAGAUAUUAUUCGGUAUCAAACCCUUAAAGAUUUUGUGCAGUUACCCAGAUGCCCAUUCACCUGAAUAGUCUUUAUUCACAUAUGGGAUCGUAUUCAACACAAUUUUUUACAAAUAAUCAAAACACUAAAGUGUUGCAAAAAGAGUAUCUUCUCUUGUAUUUUUGCACAAUCUUCUACACAGGUAAAUAUUCUGAAGAAACUAUUUAAAUUGUUUAUUAUGUACAGCAAUAAUUUCCUGUGAAACAUUUUGUUUUCUUAUUUUCACAACAACAUACAUUAUUUUUAAUCCUUAUAAUCUGAUGUUCCAUUGUUCUUGAAAUACUGCUUUGUUGAUCAGGUUUCUUAUACUUUGCAAAUGUAUAGAAAAUUUCAAUACCUCAAACUUUUGUCUUUGUCAAGUCUCACUUUUUUCAAUUACAUAUCUUUUGGAGUUUGUGGGUAAGUUAUUCAUUAUUACAUUGUCAUUGGGGGACUGGAUUGCACUAUCUCCAAAGAUCAUGUCUUACAUAAGAAUGGUUCAAAGCCAUUUCUCUCAUUGUUACAAUUGUCACAUCAGUGAAAGAAAACAGUCAGCAUUCCAUGAACAUUUCAUUUGUUUAGAGUCUCUAAGAUUUCCCAGGAGAAUAAAUCAUAUAAUCAAGCAAAAAUGUUUGGUGUGAUCAAUUCUGCAACACAGCAUUACUUUUUCUGGAAAGUCAUUUAUGAAAGAAUUAACUGUGUCCAUGUUAUUCAGUGUUGUUUACAUACCUUAAUAAAACAUGAUGACAGCAGGCAUUGGU